rnacentral:lncRNA from 10 species
GCCAGACACUGUGAUGAGCACAUUACAGUAGCCCUUUCGCUGAAUACUCACAACAGCCAGGGUCACCUCAUUGCCCAAGAUGGCUGCUGGAGCCCCAGCCAGCAGGAAGGAAGAAGAAAGCCUGAAGAAGGACAUGCCCCUUCCCUUCAAGGAAGCUUCCUAGAAGUCACACUUAUAUUCCAUUGGCCAGAACUCAGUCAUCUAGCCAUACCUAGCUGCAAGGGAAGCUAGGUAGUCUAGUCUUUAUUCCAUGGGGGUCUGGCUAAAAGUUGGGAAAUAAACGAGGAAUGGAUAUUAGGAGACAGGAUCUGCCACAAAGCCUCUUUGUUCCUUUUAGAUUGCAACUGCCAGAGGGUAAGUGGGGCCUUCCCAACGCCCUGCCUCAAGCAAUCCUGGUUCUCUCCCUUCUCUGAGGUCUCAGUUCUUCCCUGAUACUCAGUAGUUACUGCCUGGAGCUGCUAAAGGCAGCAGCACAAUGCCACAUCCGGCUGCCGUUGGCUGUUGUCCACCGUCUGCAGAUCCAGGCCAGUGCACUCACUUAUCUCACAACAGCUCAACAGGCAGCUAGUCUUAGUCCCAUUUUAUAGUUGAGAAAUUGAGGCCUAAAGAGGUUAAGUAACUUGCCCAAGAGCACGCAGCUGGGCUCUGAGCCCAGUUCCUGUGUGUUUCUUUCUUUCCUGUUGAGCCUUCCCUGUAGGGGUGGAUGCCCUGGGCCUUCUCAGGGUCUGACAAGAGGAACUGGAAUGGUCUGAGCCCUAGGAGGGGCCUGUCUGGGAGGAGAGGGCAGGCAGGGGCGUGACCUGGGUCCUCA